rnacentral:tRNA from 1 species
GGCCCUAUCGUCUAGCGGUUAGGACAGUAGAUUCUCAUUCUACUAACCGGGGUUCGAUUCCCCGUGGGGUCAC